AGCAGCCGCGGUAAUUCCAGCUCCAAUAGCGUAUAUUAAAGUUGUUGCAGUUAAAAAGCUCGUAGUUGAAUUUCGGGAUUGGCGCAUCGGUCGCGCCUCACGGGGUAUGAACUGGUGCAGUCAAUUUCUCACCUUCUGGAGAACCGCGAUGUCCUUAAUUGGAUGCCGCGGGGAACCAGGACCUUUACUUUGAAAAAAUUAGAGUGUUUAAAGCAGGCAUUUUUGCUUGAAUACAUUAGCAUGGAAUAAUAAAAUAGGACGGCAUGGUUCUAUUUUGUUGGUUUCUAGGACCACCGUAAUGAUUAAUAGGGAUAGUUGGGGGCAUUAGUAUUCAAUUGUCAGAGGUGAAAUUCUUGGAUUUAUUGAAGACUAACUACUGCGAAAGCAUUUGCCAAGGAUGUUUUCAUUAAUCAAGAACGAAAGUUAGGGGAGUCGAAGACGAUCAGAUACCGUCGUAGUCUUAACCAUAAACUAUAGCCGACUAGGAAUCAGACGAUGUUAAUUUUUAAUGACUCGUUUG
rnacentral:rRNA from 1 species